GCGCACCAGGAGGCUGCCGAGAGCCCCGGGGUGGCACCGGGAGGGUGUUUGGGGGGCUCUGGGCUGUGUAAGGCCGGGCUGCGGGGAGAGGGUGGGUUUGGCCGGCGAGCCAAGGGGCGUAGCAGGACGGCGUGUGGGGACGGAGGAGGCAUUUCGGCGCUUCCAGCCGCGAGCCGGAGGGCAGCACUCGGCAGCCAGCGGGGAUCCGGAGCCGUCGCCGUCCCCCGAAGAAGGAGGUUUGCAAAGCGGUGUGGUUUCUCCUCCCUGGUCCGGGUAAGAGGACGAUGAAGAUCCUGCUGGUGGUCCUGGCCCUGCUGCUUGCUUGUGGCAUGCUUGCUGCUCACGGAAAGGUCCCGCCUGCAUUUGCCCCGGGGCUGGAGGGAAGCACGGUGGCAAACCUGACUGCGCACAUCUGCGACUCGGGAUGGGGCCGCGGGCACGCAGCGAAGGCUUCAAUGCACCGGUGCUGCCGGCUCCGUGCCUGCUGCUACGCCCGGCUGGCUGCGCGCCGCUGCCGCGUGGGACAGAGCCAGCGCCUCGCCGCCUCCCGGGCAGGGGGCCCUGCCUGCAGGUCGGGGACCCGGUGCCAGCGAGGAGCCUGCAAAUGCGAGCGGGCGACUCGGCUCUGCUGGGCACGCAGCCGGGCGCUGCUCAAGUGCCAGGGCCGAGGCAGGCGUUGCUGACGGAGAGGGGCCCUUCAGGAACCCACCUCCGUGCUGGAGGAAAGCCGCCCUCGUGUGAAGCUGCGUCAUUAGACACUGGAUCCGAGGAGGGAGAGCUGCACAGAUGCGAUAUUUCUGCUGAGAAAAACAAGGGAGGAGCGGGACACCUGCGCCUUGUCGCAGUGAAGGGCGAGGUGAUGGAAGCCAGCACAAGUUGGCAAUUUGUCCUCUUUGGCUCCAGCUCCCCACGCGCAAGUUGCUGCACGGAAACGUCGUGGCUCCCCCAGCUGUUUGCUUCACCGCAGAAUAAAACUGAAAUAAAUAUUCCAAAUAAAAUAUAUAAAACAUUUGGAAUAUUCCAAAUAUUCCAAAAUAAAUAUUCCAAAAUAAAGCCGGAGAGCAAAAA